rnacentral:rRNA from 1 species
UACGUAGGGUGCAAGCGUUGUCCGGAAUUAUUGGGCGUAAAGAGCUCGUAGGCGGUUUGUUGCGUCGGCUGUGAAAUCCCGAGGCUCAACCUCGGGUCUGCACUCGAUACGGGCAGACUAGAGUUCGGUAGGGGAGUCUGGAAUUCCUGGUGUAGCGGUGAAAUGCGCAGAUAUCAGGAGGAACACCGGUGGCGAAGGCGGGACUCUGGGCCGAUACUGACGCUGAGGAGCGAAAGCGUGGGGAGCAAACAGG